CACGUAGGAGGCAAACGUUAUCCGGAUUUACUGGGCGUAAAGCGCGUGUAGGUGGUUCUGUAAGUAGGGCGUGAAAGCUCCCGGCUCAACUGGGAGAGGCCGUUCUAAACUGCAGAGCUAGAGGAUGGUAGAGGGAGGUGGAAUUCCAGGUGUAGCGGUGGAAUGCGCAGAUAUCUGGAGGAACACCAGUGGCGAAGGCGGCCUCCUGGACCAUUCCUGACACUCAGACGCGAAAGCUAGGGUAGCAAACGGGGAUUAGAUACCCCCGUACGUCCU
rnacentral:rRNA from 1 species